UACGGAGAGUGCAAGCAUUGAUCGGAAUUAUUGGGCGUAAAGGGCGCGUAGGCGGGAUAGUAAGUCAGAUGUGAAAUACUGAAGCUCAACCUCAGUGCUGCAUUUGAAACUGCCAUUCUUGAGGGUUGACGGAGAAAACGGAAUUCCACGUGUAGCGGUGAAAUGCGUAGAUAUGUGGAAGAACACCUGUGGCGAAAGCGGUUUUCUAGUUGAUACCUGACGCUGGGGCGCGAGAGCAAGGGGAGCAAACAGG
rnacentral:rRNA from 1 species